AUUGAACGCUGGCGGAAUGCUUUACACAUGCAAGUCGAACGGUAGAGGGGGCAACCCCUCGAGAGUGGCGAACGGGUGAGUAAUAUAUCGGAACGUGCCCAGUCGUGGGGGAUAACGUAGCGAAAGUUACGCUAAUACCGCAUACGAUCUAAGGAUGAAAGCGGGGGAUCGCAAGACCUCGCGCGAUUGGAGCGGCCGAUAACAGGGUAGGUAGUUGGUGGGGUAAAGGCUCAACAAGCCAACGAUCUGUAGCUGGGGUGAGAGGACGACCAGCCAACCUGGAACUGAGACACGGUCCAGACUCCUACGGGAGGCAGCAGUGGGGAAUUUUGGACAAUGGACGCAAGUCUGAUCCAGCCAUUCCGCGUGCAGGAUGAAGGCCCUCGGGUUGUAAACUGCUUUUGUACGGAACGAAAAGGUCUCUCUUAAUACGGGGGACUCAUGACGGUACCGUAAGAAUAAGCACCGGCUAACUACGUGCCAGCCGCCGCCGUAA
rnacentral:rRNA from 1 species